CCCAUGGCUCAGAUUGAACGCUGGCGGCAGGCCUAACACAUGCAAGUCGAACGGUAGCACAGAGAGCUUGCUCUUGGGUGACGAGUGGCGGACGGGUGAGUAAUGUCUGGGAAACUGCCCGAUGGAGGGGGAUAACUACUGGAAACGGUAGCUAAUACCGCAUAACGUCUUCGGACCAAAGUGGGGGACCUUCGGGCCUCACACCAUCGGAUGUGCCCAGAUGGGAUUAGCUAGUAGGUGGGGUAACGGCUCACCUAGGCGACGAUCCCUAGCUGGUCUGAGAGGAUGACCAGCCACACUGGAACUGAGACACGGUCCAGACUCCUACGGGAGGCAGCAGUGGGGAAUAUUGCACAAUGGGCGCAAGCCUGAUGCAGCCAUGCCGCGUGUAUGAAGAAGGCCUUCGGGUUGUAAAGUACUUUCAGUGGGGAGGAAGGCGAAGAGGUUAAUAACCUUUUCGAUUGACGUUACCCGCAGAAGAAGCACCGGCUAA
rnacentral:rRNA from 1 species